rnacentral:rRNA from 1 species
AUUGAACGCUGGCGGCAGGCCUAACACAUGCAAGUCGAACGAGUGGCGGACGGGUGAGUAAUGUCUGGGAAACUGCCCGAUGGAGGGGGAUAACUACUGGAAACGGUAGCUAAUACCGCAUACCAUCGGAUGUGCCCAGAUGGGAUUAGCUAGUAGGUGGGGUAACGGCUCACCUAGGCGACGAUCCCUAGCUGGUCUGAGAGGAUGACCAGCCACACUGUAACUGAGACACGGUCCAGACUCCUACGGGAGGAAGCAGGGGGGAAUAUUGCACAGGGGGUGCAAGCCGGAGGCAGCCAGGCCGCGUGUAUGAAGAAGGCCUUCGGGUUGUAAAGUACUUGCAGCGGGGAGGCGGUACCCGCAGAAGAAGCACGGGCUAACUCCGUGCCAGCAGCCGCGGUAAUUC